GGAACGGCAUCCGGAACUGUCAAGCUAGAGUGCAGGAGAGGAAGGUAGAAUUCCCGGUGUAGCGGUGAAAUGCGUAGAGAUCGGGAGGAAUACCAGUGGCGAAGGCGGCCUUCUGGACUGACACUGACACUGAGGUGCGAAAGCGUGGGUAGCAAACAGGAUUAGAUACCCUGGUAGUCCACGCCGUAAACGAUGUCGACCAGCCGUUGGGUGCCUAGCGCACUUUGUGGCGAAGUUAACGCGAUAAGUCGACCGCCUGGGGAGUACGGCCGCAAGGUUAAAACUCAAAUGAAUUGACGGGGGCCCGCACAAGCGGUGGAGCAUGUGGUUUAAUUCGAUGCAACGCGAAGAACCUUACCUACUCUUGACAUCCUGCGAAUUCGGUAGAGAUACCUUAGUGCCUUCGGGAACGCAGAGACAGGUGCUGCAUGGCUGUCGUCAGCUCGUGUUGUGAAAUGUUGGGUUAAGUCCCGUAACGAGCGCAACCCUUGUCCUUAUUUGCCAGCGCGUAAUGGCGGGAACUCUAAGGAGACUGCCGGUGACAAACCGGAGGAAGGUGGGGACGACGUCAAGUCAUCAUGGCCCUUACGAGUAGGGCUACACACGUGCUACAAUGGUCGGUACAAAGGGUUGCGAGCUCGCGAGAGUCAGCCAAUCCCGAAAAGCCGAUCUCAGUCCGGAUCGGAGUCUGCAACUCGACUCCG
rnacentral:rRNA from 1 species